CAAGUUAGAUUUAAGGUGAUCAAGGAGAGCGUUAAACAAUGAUAUGGGACUUUAAUAGGUGUGAUGCUUAAAGAAGGAAGUGGUAUGGUAAGGAAUAUUCAGUUUUUGUUUGUUUCGCAGGUUAUAUCCAAAUUGAGGGACGAGAUAUUGAAAAACACCAUGGCUCUGCUUUAAAAAUAUCAAAGUGUAAAAAAUGUAAACACAAGGAAAUGCCAGAACUUCAAGCUUCUUAAAAACAGAUUUACAAGACUCUCUUUGACGAAUGCCAGAAAAAAUUCGCAUUGCCCUCUUCUGCAAGACAAAGAUACAAUGCGUAAUGCAUCUCUCGGAACCCUAGAUGGAUACCGCAUAAGAAAGGAAAGGAAAAAUAAGUGCAUAAUAUGUUAAAAAUGCCACGUUUUCGUGGAAGAGGAAGAAAAAUUUGGUCGAUGUACUCGACGUGCACAAUUGGCCCAUGGUCGAUUGAAUAGAACAGAUCAAGAAUACUCGAUGGAUAAUGUAACUUUAAUGGAUCAAGUUGCACGUAUACGUGCAAAUGAAAAUUCAGAACAACGGAAUCAACGUCUCCGUGCUAAUACAUGAAAACAAUGUGACACGUCAACGAGCGACCAAUGCACACAGAGAGUGUAGGCUAACCAACGGCAAAUGCAAGAUAGUCGAGCAUUGACACAAGCAUCACUUAAUCGUCUCGCAUUUGAAUAUGAUCCUUAAAUAGACUGACUAUUCAUCACAUGUACUAAUUAUGAUCGGUAGUAUGGACAAAGAGUGUCAACAUUGUCAUGCUUUAAGUACAAAGAUGAAUCAGCUGGUUUAUGUUGCACAUCUGGAAAAAUUUUGCUGCCACCGUUAAAACCACCACCGGAACCUUUAAAAACACUAUUAGCUGGAACCACAUCUCAAUUGAAAUUGUUUUUUUGAAAAAUUCGUAAAUUCAAUUCUUGCUUCCAAAUGACAUCAUUUGGAGCAACAAAAAUUGUUCAUAAUGAAGAUGGACGUAAUUUUGAAUCUACAUUUAAGAUUCAAGGUCAAGUUUGUAAAUUGAAAAAAUAUACCUGAUAUAAGAUA